rnacentral:sRNA from 1 species
UAGCCCUGGCUCAGCUUCUGGUGAGUAGUCUUAGUCGAUUCUUAUGGAAGGAUUUGCGGCAAACCUCAUAAAUAUAGGGUAGGGUAGGUUCUUGGCAGUUGAUAGGAUGAUAAUAUUGAAUAGAGAGAGGAUCGAUCGUGUAUGUUGGAUGAAGAAGGGUGGUAAGUAUGGCUGAUUGUUCGAUGGAUGGCUUCCAUUAAGGUUUGAGAUAAACACGCCUUCAACUAGAAUAGAAGACGCGGUAAAGAGGGUGGUGCAAUAUGAGAGACAGCAUGCCUACUGAUUGCUAAAGAAUUCAAUUAAUCAUAGCAAUAUGAGAAGCAGCAAGCCUACCAGGGGCAUUACAUGCAUCAUGAUUGCAAAAACAACUUAAAAGGAGACAGCUGGCUUUUUCAAGGCACCUAACCUGCUCCAAAACCAACAACAAUCAUCACCAC